GCAGGGAUAGCUCAGUUGGUAGAGCGGAGGACUGAAAUCUC
rnacentral:tRNA from 1 species